AGCCUUCAUCCAGUAGCUGAUGGAAGCAGAAGCAGAGACCCACAGCUAAACACUGAGAUGAACUCCAGGAAACCAGUUGCAGAGAGGGAGGAGUGAUGAGCAUGCUGCAUUUUUUCAAUCAAGUGCUUGUGGAUAUGUUAUUUUAUAUGACAAAAGAGACUUCACAGAUGCAAGUAAAUUCAUGAAUUGGACCUUCACAAGUGAAAGAAGGAAGGAGACUGGUAGAAGCUGAUCAAAUGAUUCGAUGGUGUUUGAGAACUGAUGCUCGAUCAGUGAUUGAACUGAUGUGAUUCCUGGCUGAACCACAGGCAGAGAACGCAAACAACUUCUCACAGCCAGAAAGCCAUUCUGACAGGAGCAAGAUGGUAUCUCAGACCUGUUUUGAUUUGCAAUUCCUUGAUGGCUAGAGAUGAUCAGAGCCUUACAUAGACAUCAUGAGAAAAGCUCCCUCCUUCAGAAGAUGGAAAAAACCAAAGACCUGCAGCUGCACAACGUACAGAGAGUGAGAAAACUUGGAACACUCUGUUCUAAAUGGGAUGCCUUCAUUAAACUUCUCCCAUCAGAACUCAGAAACUCAAUGGAAUAGGAAGCAGAAACAUUGAAAGAGCCAGAGAAGAUAAUGAUGUGUCUUCCAGAUACAACAGGGCUGAUUCACAUAUGAACUCACAGAGACUGUGGCAGCAUGCACAGGGCCAGCCAGAUGGAAUUCUAGAGGAGGAAGUGGACAAACCACAUUUAAGGAAGGCCACGAGUUCAGCAGUAGAUGACCAACACAUACACACAAAAACAACUCAAUGGUAUUUUUGGAGAUUUUUCUUUAAUCUCAUAAUGCUUUGUUUUGUAU